rnacentral:lncRNA from 1 species
GAGCUACAUUCCUUCCUCUGCCAGGGGAGCAAGUCCAGGCUUAGACUGGGGCCAGGAACUUUCAUUUGGUCUUACCCCCCCCCCACUUUAGUCAACAGUGAGUUAUGACUUCAAACAGACAGCUCUGAAUGGUCCUCCCUGGCCCUGGUCUCUCCCAACUCCCCAGGGCUGGAAGGGGCCUUCCUGUGACCUCAGCGGGCCAGUCCUGCCCCUGCCUCCCUCCUCCCUAUCCUCACCAGAGGGAAGCGGGCAGCAUCCUGCCCAAGGUCACCAGCCAGCAAGUGGCUGUCCUUCGGCCUGCCCUUCCCUCCCACCAGCACCAGCUCCAGCCAGCCUCCCCCGUAAAGCUCCAGGUCUCCUGGGCCAUUAGGAGGCUGCCAGGAAUCACUGGUAUCUCCAGAGCACAUUCCCAUCACUGCACCCCACUGUCCAGCACAGGGCUUGGCUUCCUUCUACUGUUUUCACUCUACCCACUGAGACCCACUGGGCACACUGAGAGCCUCUGUGGGGCGGCACCCAAUGUCCUGCCCUUUGCUCUGGCUGCAGAACUCUUAUCAGCUGUAGUUCCAGCACCUCUUCAGUGCCUAACACAUUAA